UAACUAGCCUUCCCGUGAGA
rnacentral:miRNA from 1 species